GCCCUGGUGGUCUAGUGGUUAAGAUUUGCACUCUCACCGCCACAGUCUGGGUUCAUUUCCCAGCCAGGGAA
rnacentral:tRNA from 1 species